AUUGAACGCUGGCGGCAGGCCUAACACAUGCAAGUCGAAUGGUAACAGGAAACAGCUUGCUGUUUCGCUGACGAGUGGCGGACGGGUGAGUAAUGUCUGGGAAACUGCCUGAUGGAGGGGGAUAACUACUGGAAACGGUAGCUAAUACCGCAUAACGUCGCAAGACCAAAGAGGGGGACCUUCGGGCCUCUUGCCAUCAGAUGUGCCCAGAUGGGAUUAGCUAGUAGGUGGGGUAACGGCUCACCUAGGCGACGAUCCCUAGCUGGUCUGAGAGGAUGACCGCGACCACU
rnacentral:rRNA from 1 species